rnacentral:sRNA from 1 species
UCAUGAACAACGCAAAUAACAACGUUCGGGUUCUUCCAACACUUACAAAAGUACCUAGUACGAGGUGCGCUUUCGAGCGUCUGCUCACGACUGCUGGGGACCUGAGGAACGAAAACGGAGAAGAAAGCGAGCAAUCUUGGGUGCGGUGCUCCCCUACAAAAAUGGAGAGGACCGCAAUGAUUGAGCGUACAU